rnacentral:lncRNA from 1 species
AUAAAAAUAUUUAGUAAAUCAAACAAAAAUAAGAACAGGAAACAAACGAUAGCUUAAUUAGAAAGAUAAAAUAAUUUAAGGUUUAAUAGGCUUACGUAUUAAUGAGUAGGCAAGCGGAUUAAUAUAUAAGCCUUAAUAAUAAAUAGUAGAUAAUGAUAUGUACAUUGACAAAUAAAAAUAAUCAGAAAAUAAAGGAUAGCUGAAUGAGAAGGAUGAACCUAAUUCGGUUUUAAGUGAAGUUAUUUUUUUUAAUAAAUAAAUUGAAUGUAAGGCAGUGGUCCUAACGCCGACGGUGAACGAGUUGAACUAGAAAAUAUUAAUGAGUUGGCAAACAGCGUGAUCAGUAGGCGAUGAGUGUUUAGUUUCGAUAGUUCUUAGUUUCGAAAGUUAGUUUCGCACACUUUCCUAUAUAAGUGUGCGCCACAUGUUUGCUUUCGCUCAGUUUAAUGGAGCAUACCUGCAAGCAUUAACUGAGCGAGCAACGCGGAGCGAACAUCAUGGACCGAGUUUAUCUUUGACAACUCUUGGCGCUCAGCAACAAAACUAGUGAAGUGUUUCUUGUCAAGUAACUAGUGUUUCAUAACCGAUAGUGCGAACUACAAGAGUAACUAUUGAGUAUGCUUCUUUCGUUUACAUGAUAUAGCGUUUGUUUCUUGAGAGAUAAAAUCGCUAUCAGCUACUCGUUUCGCUGGCGGUCGGACUACUGCCUAAAAUGGGAUUUAGCUCUUAGUGAUAAUUUCGUAUUAUAAUUUUAGUAACCUACCUUCUAAUUUUCACUAGUUGAUUAUUUUCUAGCGUAUCUAUAUGUGAAAUUGUGUUAUUCAACUAUCACAUGACGCACUCAACAAAGCAUGCAAAUCUAUCGGGCACAACACAUCUAAAGUCUCAGAUUUCGAGUAUUGAGUUUAGGGAUGUUCAUGGUCAAGUGAAAAUACACAAGAACAAAUUCCAUCCAAUAAAAUUCGACAAAAGACGAACUUGCACUUUGUGGGCUAGUGUAGAGCCCUUCAAAAGUUUUUCAAUUUCUCCAUAGUUGAAGAUAAUACGAGUAGGGUAAACUGGGUACGGUUGUGCCAGGGUACGGUAGUGACAGUCGCAGUUGUAACAAAACUAUACGUAAAACGGGGGAGGUUGUGAGGGAGAAAGACGUGGCUCACAAGCCUAAACACGUUCCCCAGUAUUGCGUUAGCCGGCGCACGACGUUGACGUAAGCAGGAGCCCACAUUGCUUUUCAACAAUCAAAAAUGUCCAGGAUACGUUUGCGGAAGACCGAAAGAGCGCAGUGUGAUAUCAAAAAAUAAAAAGAUGCCGAUGAAGAAGUGAAACAAGGGAUUUCGUACGUGUAGCUCAAGCUACAAGCCUUUCUACAGCUACAAGUUUGAACAGAGCAAAUGUUGUUUUGUUGAUUGUUAAAACUAUGUUUGUAAGCUUAUUAUGUUAAACAUUUCUACAAUAAAAGAUAUUAUAGACCAUUUUGA